rnacentral:rRNA from 1 species
AUUGAACGCUAGCGGGAUGCCUUACACAUGCAAGUCGAACGGAGUGGCGAACGGGUGAGUAAUGUAUCUGAACGUGCCCAGUAGCGGGGGAUAACUACGCGAAAGCGUAGCUAAUACCGCAUACUAUCGGAGCGGCCGAUAUAAGUUUAGCUAGUUGGUGGGGUAACGGCUCACCAAGGCGACGAUCCGUAGCUGGUUUGAGAGGAUGACAAGCCACACUGGAACUGAGACACGGCCCAGACGCCUACGGGAGGCAGCAGUGGGGAAUUUUGGACAAUGGGGGCAAGCCUGAUGCAGCCAUGCCGCGUGUGCGAAGAAGGCCUUCGGGUUGUAAAGCACUUUUAGCAGGGAAGCGUUACCUGCAGAAUAAGCACCGGCUAACUCCGUGCCAGCCGCCGCGGUAAUAC